rnacentral:lncRNA from 1 species
GACUUAGUGGAAUAUUAAGGCCCAUUAGAGAUAUUUUAACUUUAUCAUGGCUGAACCCUAAAAAAUGGUUUUGAAAAGGGGAUUCUGGUUAUAAGUUUUUUUUUGGGAAGCUUCUCCCUCCUUGAGCCAUCAAUCCUUUUUUGCAGAUUGAAGAGAUGUUUCCGGUAAAAAUGACAGAAACCAGGCGGUGGAAACUGGCUGAAAGCACAACACCAUUCACGGUGGUGUUACGGUUCACGAACUCGGGAUGGUCUGAUCGCAUCAAUG